rnacentral:rRNA from 1 species
GGUCAGCUACAAGGGCUCACGGCGAUACUUGGCACACGAGCGAAUGAGACGUGGUUACUGGCGAAUAGUCUCGGGAGCUGAGCACGCUUUGAUCGCAUUC